rnacentral:lncRNA from 1 species
AUCAAAUACCUUAAAAAGGUGCUCUGAAUAUCUCGUCUUCUCCCCAGCCUCUCAACUUCUUAAGCUAUUAACUUACUGAGCCUGAUGAACUUUCAGAAGUACACCAGAACAACUUCUCUUGAGCUCUAGACCCACGGGACACAACAAAGAAACUUGAAGAAAGUCGAGAUGGAAAAAUUUUCAGAAAAAAAAUUCCAGCGCUAAAGAGGAGGAGCAGCAGAUAUGCAUCACAGCCACAACAGUAGCUACUGCUCUCAGCCCACAUGAACUGUGAGAGCCUAAUGAGCAAAAGUGGCCAUUCACUUCAUAAAUAUUUGGGCCAAAGGACUGAAGAAGGUCGUGUUUUGAAGAACUGACUACAGACAAUUGAUCAUGACGGGGGUAACAAGGUAUUUCUAGGAGGCAAAAGUGUGACUCCAGCAGAGCAAGGUUGGCAGGAGCUGUCAUGGGAAGGGCCACUAAGCCUACGGUCCUCACAAGCGGAUGCCCAGCAUGCCUCGUGGGGCCGUAAGGGCUCCACUGCUGUGACAGCCAUUGGCUUCAGCGGCCUAAUUGUUGCAGGAACCUUUAAUCUGAAUCUAGCUGGAUGAAAGCUGCUACACAAAUAACUAGCAAACUUUGAUAACAGUGUAGUUAUCUUCAAAAAUAGAUCAUCUUGGGAACCAAGGUCAAGAUGUUAUUGUAAGAAUUGGAGCCUUUCCUAAAAGUGCUGAGGAAAACAAGAACACAAACUGAAAAACCUAUUGAUUCUUCCAUUUUACUACUGAUGACUGGCUGCAUCAAACUGAUCUGCUGGGAGCCAUCACAGAUAAAUCCACAGUAAAGGAAACACUCUGUGGACCGGCAGCAGAUACAACAGAAACCUUCCCAGAGGAGAAGAGAGAAGAGGUUGCUCUUCCCCACCACCACAUUCCUGGGCAGCAGCCACAUACUGGAGUGGCAAAUCACCCGCCACUGGUGCUCAGUGGUCAGAGUAAGUUUCCUAUCACUUUUGGAUUCAUGUAGUCUUUGAAGCCCUUCACUCAGGUUAACCCACAGGUCUGUACCUCCAAUCUUUCCUCACAUACACAGUCUUGUGAAAGAGGGAACAAUUUUGCCUUUAUGAGUGUUUUUGACCACAGCUUAACUUAACUGACUGCAGUGGAAAUUCUCUAGAUUUGCACCGCUGUGAACUAAACCAGGCUUGGGGGAUCUGUGUGUGUGGGUUAUAGACUCCUUAAUUGCCUGUGGGCAGCAUUGUCCUCUGACUCAGAAAUAUCUUUGCCUUGGGAAAAAAUAAUAUACCCCCCCCAAAAUUCUUAUCUGUCUCUGCUGACAGACACAAUCUCUUUAAUGUUGCCCUGCAUUUGUCUUAACACAAUUUAUUGGACAAACGGCAAAAAAGGCUGUUAGUCAUUUCCACUGAAAUUUGUGAGUGAUAAACACAUCUGUUAUACUCCUGUACAGUAACUGGGCACAUUUUUGAUUAAAUAGUCCCCUAAUUCAAAAGCAUCUCACCUGCUCUCAAUAUGACAGCAAUAAAAACGUAGCUAUGUGCUUUGUUUCUGGCA